UUGGGAACGAAGGUGAGAGGUGCCGGGUCCGCCCACGAGGGCAACAGCCUCUCUCUGAGAACCCUGGAAGGGCUGAGUAAACGUGCAGGCGCUCAGCUUCCUCUCUCCCCAUCGUCACGCACAAAAAGAAUGGGCCUUGAAAAGGAUGAGUUUAUUAUGCCACUUUUAAAUGACUAUUCAGAAAAGAUCAGGAGGCACAAUAAAAAAAUGCUUCCCACCCUGCCAAUUCCCUUCUCUUAAAGAAGGAAAAAGGAAAAAAAAAGAGAGAGAGAGAAAGCAACCCACAAAGGGCCAACCCAAGGGGCUAAUAAAACCUCUGAGAGCUGUUAUGCCCAAAUACAUUGCGUGCGGGAGUUUGUGAAAGCAACUUUGCAGAGUGCAAACCUUAGAAGAUGAAAAUACUCCGAAAAUCACACAAUCCUCUUCCAACCGAGGCGCCGCACUUUUCCAGCCCUCUAGGAUAAAGUUGUCUCAGGAAAAUAAAACUGUUGAUAAACCAUG